rnacentral:rRNA from 2 species
ACCUGACUGCUAUCGGAUUGAUACUAAGCCAUGCGAGUCAUUGUAGCAAUACAAGGCAGACGGCUCAGUAACGCGUAGUCAACCUAACCUAUGGACGGGAAUAACCUCGGGAAACUGAGUAUAAUGCCCGAUAGAACAUUAUGCCUGGAAUGGUUUAUGUUCCAAAUGAUUUAUCGCCGUAGGAUGGGACUGCGGCCUAUCAGUUUGUUGGUGAGGUAAUGGCCCACCAAGACUAUUACAGGUACGGGCUCUGAGAGGAGUAGCCCGGAGAUGGGUACUGAGACACGGACCCAGGCCCUAUGGGGCGCAGCAGGCGAGAAAACUUUGCAAUGUGCGAAAGCACGACAAGGUUAAUCCGAGUGGUUUCUGCUAAAGGAACCUUUUGUCGGUCCUAAAAACACCGAUGAAUAAGGGGUGGGCAAGUUCUGGUGUCAGCCGCCGCGGUAAAACCAGCACCUCAAGUGGUCAGGAUGAUUAUUGGGCCUAAAGCAUCCGUAGCCGGCUCUAUAAGUUUUCGGUUAAAUCUGUACGCUCAACGUACAGGCCGCCGGGAAUACUGCAGAGCUAGGGAGUGGGAGAGGUAGACGGUACUCGGUAGGAAGGGGUAAAAUCCUUUGAUCUAUUGAUGACCACCUGUGGCGAAGGCGGUCUACCAGAACACGUCCGACGGUGAGGGAUGAAAGCUGGGGGAGCAAACCGGAUUAGAUACCCGGGUAGUCCCAGCUGUAAACUAUGCAAACUCAGUGAUGCAUUGGCUUGUGGCCAAUGCAGUGCUGCAGGGAAGCCGUUAAGUUUGCCGCCUGGGAAGUACGUACGCAAGUAUGAAACUUAAAGGAAUUGGCGGGGGAGCACCACAAGGGGUGAAGCCUGCGGUUC